AUUUUGCACCAUGGCUCUUUCAUCAGAGAGAGCUGGGGGGUGGUGAGGGGAAGGUGGAGGCCGGCCUGGAAGGAAACCCGGGGGUCAGAGGAACCUGGGGGGCUUCACAAGGCUGGGGAGAGGGGUGUGCUGAAUGUGCUCUGCCACCCAGGUGUCAAGCUCUGGACUCUGGUCUCCAGCUCAGAGUAGAUGAUGCUGCCAGUGGAGACCAGGAGGCCGGUGGGGAGAGCCUGCCUGAUGGGGGAGCAGAGGGGUCCAUGUUCCCUUCCUCAGUCUGGAGACUAUUCCUAGCCUUGGGGCUGCACCUAGGGAUGGACUGAUCCAGGCUGAACCCACAUCUCUGGUGACAUGAGGGGUGAAGGGACUGCUCUGAAAGACUGGCUUGUAACACACCCUGGGUGCCUGACACAGAGCUCAUGGCCAAGAUGCCCACGCAGAUCUGUGCAGCGUCCCUGCUCCCAGGAGCAGCUGAGGACACAGGCUGUCACAAUUGGCCAGACCGAGUGUUGCAGUGGAGAUGGCACAGCCUCGAGUAAAGAAGGGGGCACCCCUCCAGGCAGGGGAGCCAGGUGGGUAAUAUCUGUGCUGAGUAACCAGGCAAACAAAUUGGUGAGGAAGAGCUGGGAAGGGCAUCCAGGCAAAGGGAACAGUGUGAGCAAAGGCCCAGAGCCAGAGGAGAGCCUGGGUGUUCUGGAGCUGUGCGUCACGACUUCCGAGGUGACGCAAUCCAAGGUGUGUCAACCUCCUGCGUCCAGGGCUCCCUUCUCUGAGCUGCCGUCUCCAGCUGACACCCACUUGUCUGUUUCUGCUGAACCUCCUCUAAGAUGGCUCCUCGGGACCCGCUCGAUCGAUAGACUAGGUGAUCAGUCUAACCUCUCCUGCCAUGCUUGAUCUAGAGAGCAGAAAAGGCAGCGCCAUGCAGAGCACACACACGGUCUUCGGGACGGGCGGGGUGAAUGAACCAGCAGGACAAGCUCUCACGUGCCAUCUGCUUUGCUCGUUUCCUUCCUCGGCUCCUUCGCUAGCAAACAUGGCUGCCCUGGGUUCUGCCCACUGGGAAGGGAUCCCCUGUCUGCAGUCCUUCGGGCCCGCCCUUGAGAGCUUCUUGGGAAGGCUUUUCCUAGGAGGGGACACAGCUGCCCAGGCGGCCUGCUUCUUCUUGGUGCCUGUACUUGGGCCUCAGAAUCGCCCAGAGGAAACCAACUCAAGAGAGUUUGUACUGGGUUGAAUGUUGUCCCCCCCGAAUUCAUACUCCCCUGGAACCUCAGAAUGUGACCAUAAUUGGAAAUAAGGCCCUGGUAGAUCUAAUUAGCUAAGAUGGGCUCAUCUGGAUUCAGGUGUCCUUAUAAGAAGAGGGAAAUUUGGACAAAGAUUCGGACACAAGGGGAGAGCACGGUUUGAAGAUGGAGGCAGAGGUUGGAGUGAGGCACCUACAAGCCAAGAAACACCAAGGACGGCAGGCAGCCACCAGAAGCCAGGAGAGAGGCAGGGACAGAUUCGCCCUCGGGAUCUCUGGAAGGAACCAACCCUGCCAACACUGCAAUUUCAGACUUCUGGCCUCCUGAACCAUGAGAGAAUAAAUUUCUAUUGUUU
ensembl:lncRNA